GAUAGUACCUUACUACUUGGAUAACCGUGGUAAUUCUAGAGCUAAUACAUGCUGAAAACCCCAACUUCGGGAGGGGUGUAUUUAUUAGAUAAAAAACCAACGCCCUUCGGGGCUUCUUGGUGAUUCAUGAUAACUUUACGGAUCGCAUGGCCUUGCGCCGGCGACGGUUCAUUCAAAUUUCUGCCCUAUCAACUUUCGAUGGUAAGGUAUUGGCUUACCAUGGUUUCAACGGGUAACGGGGAAUUAGGGUUCGAUUCCGGAGAGGGAGCCUGAGAAACGGCUACCACAUCCAAGGAAGGCAGCAGGCGCGCAAAUUACCCAAUCCCGACACGGGGAGGUAGUGACAAUAAAUACUGAUACAGGGCUCUUUUGGGUCUUGUAAUUGGAAUGAGUACAAUUUAAACCUCUUAACGAGGAACAAUUGGAGGGCAAGUCUGGUGCCAGCAGCCGCGGUAAUUCCAGCUCCAAUAGCGUAUAUUAAAGUUGUUGCAGUUAAAAAGCUCGUAGUUGAAACUUGGGUCUGGCUGGCAGGUCCGCCUCACCGCGUGUACUUGUCCGGCCGGGCCUUCCUUCUGGAGAACCUCAUGCCCUUCACUGGGCGUGUUGGGGACCAGGACUUUUACUUUGAAAAAAUUAGAGUGUUCAAAGCAGGCCUUUGCUCGAAUACGUUAGCAUGGAAUAAUAGAAUAGGACGUGCGAUCCUAUUUUGUUGGUUUCUAGGACCGCCGUAAUGAUUAAUAGGGACAGUCGGGGGCAUCAGUAUUCAAUUGUCAGAGGUGAAAUUCUUGGAUUUAUUGAAGACUAACUACUGCGAAAGCAUUUGCCAAGGAUGUUUUCAUUAAUCAGUGAACGAAAGUUAGGGGAUCGAAGACGAUCAGAUACCGUCGUAGUCUUAACCGUAAACUAUGCCGACUAGGGAUCGGGCGAUGUUCUUUUUCUGACUCGCUC
rnacentral:rRNA from 1 species